rnacentral:pre_miRNA from 1 species
AAUGUAUGAUGCCGUUGACUUUUUGUCCAACGUUUGACCAUUCGUCUUAUUCAAAAAAUUUAUGUAAUUAUCAUUUAUUUUAUUGUGACUUGAUUGAUCAUCAAAUAUUCUUUAAGCAUGACAUAAAUAUUUUCAUAUUUGCAAAAAAAAAUGAAUAAAACGAAUGGUCAAACGUUGGUUAAAAAGUCAAUGACGUCAUAUAUU